AUCCAGCCGGGUUCGCGCGCAGUAUUUCCGCUUUCCCGCCUUGCUCCACCUGCGAUCUACAAGUUGAGCAAGGACUAAAGGUUCUGAGCUAUGAAAACAAGAUGAAGCCACCCACGACCACAGGAAAAGGCCAAAGGAAGGGGCAUAUCGGCAACUCACACACAGCCUCGCGGUUCAAGAACAAGAAUGAAAGCCGCAGACACAGGGCAAAAGGACGCAGACCACCGAAGACAUUUGUGAACAAAACGUGAAAAUGUUUGACUUUGCCAUUACGGAAAAUUGAAAUAAAUAAUUUCCCACCACCUUG